rnacentral:rRNA from 1 species
CAAUAGCGUAUAUUAAAGUUGUUGCAGUUGAAAAGCUCGUAGUUGGAUUUCUGGUCGGAAGCUCCUGUCCUCUGAUGAGCGUACAAGUGCGUCCUACCAUCCUUCUGUUAACCUUUAAGGCUUUCGCGGCUUUCUAGGGGCUCAGAUAUUUUACCUUGAGAAAAUUAGAGUGUUUCAGGCAGGCUAGCGCCGGAAUACAUUAGCAUGGAAUAAUGGAAUAGGACUUUUGCCUCUUCUGUUGGUCAUGAGGCUCGAGUAAUGAUUAAUAGGGAUAGUUGGGGGCAUUAGUACUUAACUGUCAGAGGUGAAAUUCUCGGAUUUGUUAAAGACUAACUUAUGCGAAAGCAUUUGCCAAGGAUGUUUUCAUUAA